AGUUCAUCAACUUUAAUUUGCUCACGAAUACAGAGAUUAAUUGGCUGAAUAACUAUCACUCUGACGUUUGGGAGAAGGUCUCACCCUUGCUCGACGGUUCAGCACGUCAGUGGCUUUGGAACAAUACGAGGCCAGUUGUAAAACCUUGAAUUUUUACUAGUAAUGUUAUAAGUGUGUCUUUAAUUUUGCAUAUUUAUACAAAUUGUUGGAACUUUUUUUUUUCAUUCAGGGUUACAUUUAUUGCUGAAAUUAUAUAGUAUCAAAUAUGUGUAUUGUUCACUGUAAAAAUGAUGUAAAAUUUAUUCCCUUUUUAUGAAUACAUAGUUAGUUUUCUUU